rnacentral:rRNA from 1 species
GAUCAUGGCUCAGAUUGAACGCUGGCGGCAUGCUUUACACAUGCAAGUCGAACGGCAGCAUGAGGAGCUUGCUCCUUGAUGGCGAGUGGCGCACGGGUUAGUAAGACAUCGGAACGUGUCCUUUUGUGGGGGANAACUGUCCGAAAGGACAGCUAAUACCGCAUAAGACCUGAGGGUGAAAGCGGGGGAUCGCAAGACCUCGCGCGAAAGGAGCGGCCGAUGGCCGAUUAG